rnacentral:pre_miRNA from 9 species
UCUCGAUAGCGUAAAAGUUAAUUUACAUUUGUAUUGGAGUUGGAACGUUUGCCUACGUUUGCCGCUAGGGGCGCUGUUCUAACUGCAUACAAAUUUGAGUUAAGUUUUACGCCAUCGA